CAGAAAUAAAGAAAGAACAGAUUUAUUCUAGUGCAGUGACAACACCUCUGCAAAGAGACCACAAUUGCCCAAAUCAAUUUAAGCACCUCCCGUUGGCUUGGCUUUAAUUGGCGCCGCGUUUUGCAUUUGUUUAAUAUUUAAAGCUCGACGUUUUUGCACAAUAUCUAUGACGGCAGCAACAACAAGAAGCCAAAAGCCAUUUUUUUCUCCCUUUAGCGCUUCUACUACAACAAAUAAUAAAAGGCAGCAAAAAAUAAAAGACAUUAUAAAUUACAAUAUUUCU